CUUGGUCAUUUAGAGGAAGGUGGACGGACCCAUUCAGCCGCAUCUCGUGCUGCCCAAGGAGAGCCACGAACCCGAUCAGGACCCUUUAGUGCAGCAGUACGUCAAGAUUGGAGACGCAGCCCUUAAGAAUUCGCUCG
rnacentral:misc_RNA from 1 species